GACCAUCCUCCAAGGCUAAAUACUACUGACUGACCGAUAGUGAACCAGUACCGUGAGGGAAAGGCGAAAAGAACCCCGGAGAGGGGAGUGAAAUAGAACCUGAAACCGUAUGCGUACAAGCAGUGGGAGCCUACUUUGUUAGGUGACUGCGUACCUUUUGUAUAAUGGGUCAGCGACUUAUAUUCAGUGGCGAGCUUAACCGAAUAGGGGAGGCGUAGCGAAAGCGAGUCUUAAUAGGGCGUUUAGUCGCUGGGUAUAGACCCGAAACCGGGCGAUCUAUCCAUGGGCAGGUUGAAGGUUAGGUAACACUGACUGGAGGACCGAACCGACUACCGUUGAAAAGUUAGCGGAUGACCUGUGGAUCGGAGUGAAAGGCUAAUCAAGCUCGGAGAUAGCUGGUUCUCCUCGAAAGCUAUUUAGGUAGCGCCUCAUGUAUCACUGUAGGGGGUAGAGCACUGUUUCGGCUAGGGGGUCAUCCCGACUUACCAAACCGAUGCAAACUCCGAAUACCUACAAGUGCCGAGCAUGGGAGACACACGGCGGGUGCUAACGUCCGUCGUGAAAAGGGAAACAACCCAGACCGUCAGCUAAGGUCCCAAAGUCAUGGUUAAGUGGGAAACGAUGUGGGAAGGCUUAGACAGCUAGGAGGUUGGCUUAGAAGCAGCCACCCUUUAAAGAAAGCGUAAUAGCUCACUAGUCGAGUCGGCCUGCGC
rnacentral:rRNA from 1 species